CUUCCCCGCUCCCCCGCGUCCUCCGCCGCCCGCCGCCCGUCCCUUCGGAAGCGCCGAUUCCUCGGGGAGGAGGAGGCGUGAGGGGAGGCGGCGGAGGCAGCCGGCACGGGGCGCUCGGGCCGCGGGGCAGGGGGCGCGGGGUGCCUCCUCGGCCUCGGCUCUCCCCGCCCCGGGGCGCCCCGAGACCGCCGCCUGCCUCCGCGGGCAGCUUUGUUCUUCUUUCCUCCAACUACCUGUCUGAGCCGCGGGCCCCAGAGGCCCCAAAGAGAGGCCCGGAGGGUCUCCCCAGCAGCAUCCGAGGGGCGCUCUCGGGGAGCUAGGGGCCAGAGUCCGCGGUCCCUCCGUGCCUGCCUCCCUCCCCUCGUGCCUCGGUCUUUUGUUGCCUCUACUCCUCGGCACGGCGCAGCCUGGGCUCUCUUCCCCCUCCCGCUUGGGAGUUUGCAGUGUGGACGCUCGGCAAGCACAGUAAGUUGUCCCCCAGCGAACUCGGGCCCGGGCGGAGUGGAGCCGCCCCCGCCGGGACGGGCGCACCGCGGGACGCUUGGAAGCCUCUGCCAGAUGCGCUCGCGCUCCAGCCCCGCCGGGCUUUGUGACCAGCCUGACCGGGACCCGGCAGCUGGGGCUCCUCGGAGAUCAGAAUGGGCUCCGGGGCUCUUCCUUGGGCAGCCCCUCCUGCUCCUCCCCGGUGCGGUAAUCAGCAAGCAUUAAAAGGAAAACUAUAAUUCUCCAGGAAUCAGGAAUCAGGGUUGGAAUCAGAGAGGGGAGGUGGGGGUAGGGAGGAUGUCCAAACUCCCUACGUCAUUUAAAAAAGAGAGAAGGCGAGAGAGAGAGAGAAAGAGAUCGAGAUCCUGUUUCCUAGUUCAUCCCUGUCUUCUCAACUGUAAAGUAAAAAUGACAGGGAAAAGAGAAUUUCAAAGUGGAAUUUCCCCAAAGAGUAUUGAGAAAGUGAGAAAGAUUUCAUUUAUCUAUUGAAAUGAGGCAGCCAGGAUUCAGGAAGAAAGGAACAGAAGAGCAGAUGAAGCAAGUGCUGUCUGAAAUUUUGGAUCCAGAUAAAUAUUUUGGUGGUGGUGGGUGUUAUAUAUUCUGAGUUUUGCUGCUUAGGGGUCCACAAAACCCACACAGGAGGGCUCUGCUGCCCGCAGCUCCUGUUACAAGAUUGUUCCCCACAUACACAGCAUUCACUUGUGCUUAAAUCUAGAGCAGACACUUUUCAAAAAGAACAAUAAAGACAACCAAUUUACAAGUUCAAUGAUAUAAAUGUGAACAGUGAUCUAAGAGAUGGGGAUAGAGACGGUGGGGGACAGGAGGGAACGAAGCAGAAGUGUUUUCUAAAAGGCAACCCUGCAUUCACCUGUUGGAAAGGUGGCCUCUGUCACCCUUUUCAAGCAAAUAACGAAUCUGAAUGAUGAUCAGGGUGUCCGGAACCCACCGCCUUCCCCCUACCUAUUCAUGCUCAGAUUCAGGCUAUUAGAAAACAAACCAUAAUGAAGGGAAAGUUUUAAAUCCCACAUUGGGUUGUUUCCUUUUAGAGAAAUCACUGCAAAGGAAAAAUAAUAAGAUCUAGUUGUCGUUUUCUAAAGCCUUUUUGGCUCUGAACUUCCAGAUCUCCUGAAUCCCAAUAAUAAUCUGGUAUUUUUUACAAAGAUUGGGCCUACAGUCUCAUUUCAUUGCACAGCUAGCUGCCAGAGUCUAUGGGCGGCAGUUCCUGUGCUCUGUUUGCUGGGCUGUACAAACAGGAAUAAUACUGCAGAACUUCAUUAGGAUUUUAGGUGGAUUAAACUGCUAAUAGUUUCAAGUUUCUGUGUAAAUUAUAGCCAUCAUUUGCACAUUUAAAACUCAUUUGAGGGAUUUGGAGAAGAAAAGAAUUCUUUUCUAGACAAAGGGCCUUGGGACAUAGCUAGUUUUGUCUUAUGUUGAUGAUUGCAACAAAAUUUAUGGCUUAUUACUCAAAGGCUUCCUUCCAAACUGCGCUUUUUGGAACUUUGAACUGUUUAACCUGAAUGUUAUCACGUUCAGUAGUUUUCUUUGUUUUCAGCUCAUGGUAUCAGAGGAAAUCAAGCAGAUCACAUCUGUUUCCAGCGGAGUCCGUUAUCCCCUCUGUAAUACAGAAUCAACAUACAUUCCCAGGGGCUUUCAAGUUAUUAGAGUUAUUUUUAAAGGAACAAGGAUACUCUUGGCCCUUCUGGCGUUAUUUUCCUUCUAAUCUCCCUGGCCAUUUCAGUUUGGAUGAUUUCCGAGACUGUGGGACCCCACUUUCACCGUGCUAAGGACUGAAAGGCUACAACUACCUAGUCUUAAUAAUUCACUAGUGUCUCCAGAUUUUGGAGCUCAGCACAGCCUUCUGACCUUGUAGCAGGGAACAUAAUGAAGGCCCUGGGAAAGUAAGAGAAGAGGAUGAAGAUUAGCUUAGUUUAGUUGGAUUAAAUUCUGACCUGCAACCUUUCAUUUGCUCUAUCUUAAAAAAAAAUCCUUAUAUAAUUUAUUCAGUCUCAUAAUUUAUUCACAACUCAUUUACUUCCUGGAUCAUUUCACCAACCUAGCCUGGUGUGCUUGACUCGCCUGCCUGUGCUCCCAGGGCUGCGUAGGGGAAGACAGCGUCAUGGGCACACACAGGACCUUCUUGGUCUCCAGGAGUGUGCCAGAGAAGGGAAGUCUGCUUAUACCAACAGCUCAGCACCUCCUGCCUCUGCACACACCUUUCUCUCACAGAUAGUGCAGGCUGCAGAAAUAAGUAGUUUAGUGUUGUGAGUUCUGGAGCCAGUUUAUCUCCUCCACUAACUAAAUUACUUAAUCUUGUCUGCCUCAAUUUCCCCAUCUGUAAUGGGGAUAAUGACACUGAUACCUUAUUCAUAGCAUUGUAGUAAAGAUUAAAAGAGUGUAGUCAGUGUAGGCUAAUGCUUAGCACGUAGUAAGCACUCAUUAAACUUAGCUAUCACCUUAUUGGUCCUAACAUCUCCCAGCUUGAUACCCUCACUCUCCUGUUCCAUUCAUAUUUUCUGGGAUCCACAUGGAACUGUAUCUGUACUUAUUAUCUCUGAAGUAGGCUUACAGGAUCAGCUGCUGUGAUUGAACUACCCCUACCCAGAUGACAUAGGUCCAAUGCCACUCCAGAAAGCUUGCUCCAUAUGAGAAUGAAAACACUUUUCUCCAUUGCAACUUUGCUCAUUUUGCAAUUAACCGGGACCCUUUAAUUUCAAUUUGCUCAAUAACUCAGAUUUCAAACUCAUGACACACUGUAGUCAAAUUAGAAAUUUGCAAAAACACAACCAAGAGACAUUCUUCAGACCAGAAGUUGGAAGAUUUCAUAGAAAGGACCUUCAAACCUUGGUAUGACAUCUCUAUAUAAGAAGACAGAAACGGUCAACCCCAGAUCAAAAACAGGAUACAAAAUAACUCCUUCUCUUCAUUCCUUCCUUACCCUUUUCAUACCUCUGCCAAUAAAAAACAAAAUGACAAAAAAGCAUGACAAAAUAAAACAAUAAGCAUACAACUAGAGUCACUAGAUUUAGCAAAUAAAACUAUUGCGUGGGAUAUACUUCCACUAAAAAACUCUUUGUUGUUUACCUAAAAUUCGGAUUUAACUAGGCAUCCUAUAUGUUAUUUGCAGCCCCACCACAGUGUACCUGAUAGCCUCUCAAUUUUCUCAUGGAACAUGCAAAGGACAAAAGAGCCCGAUAAGACAGAAAACAUGAAAUGCAACAUUAAAUUUAUUUUAGAAGAGAAUAAGCAGAAAAAAAAAAAACAAGCAAAGCCUGGAUGGAACAACAGAACUUCAAAGCCUGAGGAUAGUGUUUCCAAGCUGGGCUGGGCUUAGCCUUGGGGUUUCUCAUAGUUAGAGGUUGCAUGGUUUGUGUUUCUAGCCCUUUCCUAUGGAACACUGCCAUGCUAGAGGGACAGGCAGUUGCUCCUGCAUGCAGUCCCCAGGGUCCCACAAAUGAACUUCUGAAGAGAUAGAGCUCAACUCACUUUCAAGAACUUCAGCUUUGAAACCAAGGAUAAACUCAUGCUAGUGUCAAGAUCAAGAUCAAGCUCAUUUCUUGUAUUUCUGAGAGGAAUCAAAGAAGUUCAAGCCCAAACACUUCCACCACAGAAACAGUGGAAAAAAGAAAUGGUGCAAGAUCUAAAGAGCCUUCCUUAGAACACAUCAGGCAGAUUCUGCUGCCUCCGUUCCAGGUCAAUAGCAUGUAGCAAUGACAGCUUCUAUCUCUGUCUUCAGCCCCAUUCAUUUGUCUUUCUCAGUGACAGACCUAUCAGGGGUGGUGUCUCUAAUAAGUGGGGUUCAUUUUUAUACAUUCAGUUUUCCCCAAUAGCCUGAAUUUUCUACCAUUUUUCAUGUACACCAUCAAAGCUGGAUUCUGUGCGAUUCUUACGAAAUAAUUGAGGUCUGAGAUGAGAAACUAGAGUUUGUUGGCAGGCCUGAAAGCAGAUCAAAGCUGAGCCUGGAAAAAACUUUGCAGGGAGGGCUCCAUCAAUGGAGCAGCCAAGAUGAGACCCACAGCUGAAUGUGCCCUGUGUUCCCAAAACAUAUCCUAAAUGUCCACACUAAUGUCAUUCAUAUCAUUUUGUAUAAUCUACAAGCGCAUGGAGAGAUGACUUGUCCUACUGAGAGCUAAUUGCUCACAUGUCUGAUCUGCUUUCAAAAUUAAUUGUGAUAUGAGCUGCUGUGUAUACACCGCAGGAAAAAGGAUACACACAGAUAAAGAACUAGUUUUCAAACGUAAAGAAAGAAACCCAAGAAUUCCAAGUAGCAAUUCCUGGAUUGCUACUUGGGUGGCAGAGCUCUGAUUCAUCCAGUAAGGAUUUUCUUAAGCACCUCUGUGUACCCCACCCUAUGAUUCUUGCAUCAUUCACUCAACAAAUAUUUACUGAGUGUCUAUUGUGUUAUCGUUAUCGUUCUAGGCAGUAGGGAUAAAGUAGUGGUGAUCUGUGCAAACACAGUCACUCUCAGUGGUGGGAGUUUGAGAUAAAAAACAAGUAAAUAAACAAGUGAGAAAAUUUCAAAUCUUGGUGAGCGGUACGAAGAAAUUAAAAGAGGUUGCUGUGACUGGUCACACGGGCAGCAAGAGAGAACAAUUUAGAUUGGGAAUUCAGGGAAGGCUUCUCCAAGAAGUGUCAUUCCACUGAGAACUGAAAGCUGAAAAGGAGUCGAUCACUUGAAAGUAUUCCUGGGGAAAAAAUAAUAAAGGACACGGUGUUAUUAUCAUAUAAUCUAAUUAGAUUCAUCAGUACACCUUAGGCAAAAAAGAAGAAAAAGAUCAUUGAGGGAGACAAUUAGUUAGGGAAUACUUCAUGAGUCUGGAUCCCCCCCGGCUUGACCUGGCAUGGAUUUGGGUGAGUGGAGGAAAGGGAUAGGGUGGGGCAUAACUUCUUUGAUUGGUGUACAGGGCCACACAAGGUGGCAGGGAAGACAUGAUGGCCUAGGUAGCAGGCAGCUAAGUGUGCCAUUGACAGAGAUGGUAAGAAACGUAGAGUGGGAAGGGGCCUUAAGGUACUUAAUGCUCAAAUUAUAAUCCAAGAACCAGCAGCAUCAGUGCCACCUGGGAGGUGGUUAGCAGUAUAGAAUCUUGGGGUCCAUUGCAAACCUGAUGAUUCCAAAUCUUCAUUUUCACAAGAUGCUCAGGUGAUUUGCAUGCAUGUUAAACCUCAAGAACCACUGCUGUAUUCCAAUUUUCUCAUUUUAGGGAUAGGGUAACAGAAUUUAAAUGAUCCCCAUCUUUACCAUCCUAGGCUUGUGGAGGGUGUGUGUGUGUGUAAGAAAGAGAAUAUUUUGCUUUUAAAUAUGUAUUUCAAAUAGUGAACCUGGAGGUCUGUGACACCUGUGGCUAAAUGUAUGUUUCUUACGUAGGGCAGCAGCAUGUUUUUUUUAGCUAGAGUAGAAGAGGAAAGUUAAAAUUUGGUGGCUUUUUCAGAUCUAUGCAUCUGUUUAGGAAACAGACUUGGUGAAUUUGGGGCCUUAAUUCAGCUUUCCGGGAGAUCGAAUUUACUUUGGGAUUACUCUUUGGAUUUAGACCAUUUGUACCCGAGUAAUUAAGCCCCUUCCAGUCAUAUGACCUUGAGCAGGUCACUUAAGUCUCUGCAUAUAGUUGUAUUGUCUACGAGGGUGACUUGUAACUCUUUUUCAGGGUAGUUGUGAGGAAGAAAUGAGAUCAUCAGUGGCAGUGGCAGCAUCAGUUAUUUGUGGAGAAGGGGAAGUCUGGUCCUGCCUCAUCUCCACUGUCCCUCCAGGGCCCCACCAAGUGAAUAGAUGGAAGAAAAAGAUGAGUACUGGCUAGGUAUAUAUCACUGUCCCUAAGCCUAUUCCAUACAGAAAUCAUGGAGCUGCCACUACAGAUGUUGCUUGGGGUAUGGGCGAUGAGGCCUGUAAAGUAUUAUUUAGACGUUAAUGGUGGUGUGAUGAUGAUGGUGAAUAGUUACAGAGUGGCCAUUCCCUAUUGGGCACUGUGCUGGGUACUGGAGAUGCAGUCAAGGUCAAGUGCUACCUAUGAAGUUUGGGUCAGAUCUGAAAGAUACACGAUGGUUCCCCAGAAUGCUUUGUAGUUCUGAAUGAGUCCCAGCCAGGCGGCAGUGGCUUCCUGGUCUCCACUCUCUCACCUCCUUAUCUUCUGAGCCUCACCCUCCGAGAGCAAUUGUGUUUUGCAAUAGGCUUAGGUUUCCUUAAAUCUCAGACCCAUGCCAUUGGAGCAUCCUGUGAGUCCCACCAUUUAGGAAUCAGGGGCGGCCUCUAGUAUCUCCACAGUGUUUGGAAAUCUCCACUACUGAGUUAUUAAACAUGUAACUCAACGUGUAAGGGAGCAAAGGGUCACACUGUGGCAUGAAAUUUCACAUUUGAAGCAGUGCCAACCCUUCUUUUUGCACACAACUUUCAGAUGACCCCAUGGCAACAUCUGUAAGACAUUUAUAUUCUUUAGGGGUGUAAAUACAGAGUCAUAGUGAAAGUGAAAACUGCCUCCCUCAAAUUAUCAUCACAAAGCAUAUAUAUGUCUAAUAUAUAAAACCAAUAAAUCAACACUGAUGAUGUGUUUUUAUCCAAUGAAACUCUUAUGAUCUUAUCCCAACCAUAAAAGAUAUGUUAAAUGAUUAAAAUGCACUAAAGUAAUAAAUAGUAUGUGUGUAUACAUACACACACACACACACACACACAUAUAUGUGUAUAUUCUCAGAAGGAAAAAUGCACACAACAUUUUUCACACUAAAUUUAGUCCUGAAUUUCUAUAAAAUCUUACAAACUGAGCUGGCUUCUUCAUACUAAAGAAGAUAAACUCUUACAAUCUGAGCUGGCUUCUUUACACUAAAGAAGAUUAAAGUAUCAAUACAUCAGAAAAGCAUCACAAAUAUUUCUUUUCUAGUGAGAAAGAUGCCAACAUCACUUCUUGACAGGCAAAGCAAAGUGAUUACAUAGCUUUCUAUAGAGGCAAAAUAAUGGUAUGGUGUAUUGGAAAAUGAUAUGCAGAAAAAUCAGAGAUAAUAUUUCAAAAUAUUUCUGAAUUUCAUUAUUUUCCAAAGCCAUGCCCCACAAGGAUCAGGGCUUGAUUACUGAAAAAUUUACAGAGAGAGGGAGAGAGAGAGGUAAGUAUUUACAGCAAAUUGUGUAAGAACUUAGUAUAUUCACCUUACAAAGAGGCUGUGUCACAGAUUUCCUCCAAAUUCCUCCCAAUCACUUACAGCUUCUGACUUUUGAUGACAUUAAUAUUAAUGCAAUGAUAGAAAGAUUAUACUUUCUAGAAAUUUGAUACCAAUCAGUGUUAUAGCUCCACUUUUUUCGGAGCAGGGAGGGGUUAAGAAAUGUUUUUUCCAUUUACAGAGAUAAAUAUGUGUAUGAUCAAGGCUAAGAAUCCGCAACCCAAGGGAGGAGAAUGAGAAAAGAUCGUAAUUUACAGCAGUUACCUCGAGCUUACUCAUCAGAACGCAGAUAGGUUUAAUGGCUUAUUCUAGAAAUGUGGGAACUCAGAAUUUCUGCAGCUUCGUUUUGUAAGCAGUAAAGGAAUUGCCCUGCAGCCUAUCGCAGCGGAAGGUGAGGUGAGGAAUCCCAGUUGGACUGGGGUCAGGGGGCCAUGCUGCUCACCUCUGAGGAAGUUACGAGACUACAGGAUUUCAUCAAUGGAGCUAGUGCUCCGAUUUUCUGUUCCUGUCUCUAUUGGCCUGCGGAGAUAUCAAAAUGUCAGCUAGUUUCUGUCUCUAAGCAAGACAGGUUCUAAACUAUGUCAAAGUAUUGAAUCUUUUCCCUGGAUGAUCUCUUCACCUCAUAGGUGAGGAGGAGACUUGAAAUGUCCUAUUUAUUUAAAAGAUGCAGAAAGUCAAACUAGAUAAUUUCAUUCCUUCGUUGCUUUUUCAGCCAUGAAAAUCUCAAGGGCAUAUUGCAUAACCUGUUGGACCCAAUACAUAUUAAUGCACUAUUUAAAUGGUGCAUAAUGUUGAAUAGUUGGUAUCAAAUGAUGUAGUUUAAAAAAGUACUAGAUGGCUUUUAAGAUUCCUUCCUGUUCUCUGAGCCCUCAUAUUCUCACUUAAAGCUGUGGAAACUCGGGAUAGGUCCUUCAGGUAACGCUCAUUAGCCCACUUUUUCUGCUUCUCUUGUGCAACCAGAAACAUUGGUUUAUACAAAACAUGGUAAAAUUACAAUUCCCACAACACACAGAAGCUACUGGUUUGGGUUUGUACUUUGUCCCCAGUUGGAGUUGCGAUUCGCAAAUCUCUUCAGGAGGUGGGACAUUUGAAAAUCUCAGAGUGCUUCUUGGAAUAUUAUGAAAUAUCAAACUUAAAAUAAAUUCACAUACGAUUUUGAUUGUAUCUAUCACGAAACCAUCUGACAUUCGAUUCUUACAUAGAAAUAUAGUAGACAUCAAAUAUGUAAGGAAUACUUAUAGAAGAAAACCUUAAAGCUAUGAACCUUUGUCUGAUAACAUUAUUUCUCCUAAAAAUUGGAAAAGAACACACUCAUUCUAUUUGAGCCAUGGGACAUCUUGACCUAGUUAUGGAAAACCAGUAUUUCUCAAAGAAUAUAAUUUUAAAAAACAUGGUCUUAGCUAUUGAAUGGUUAGGUACUAAGAAUCUCUGUCUUCGGCCAUUAUUUUUGGUUUUGCCACUUAACAUAUUGACCUUUGCAAUCACACUGCAAACACCUACCUGCUUUCUUAUUCACUGCUCUUUCUACCUUCUUUCAGCAACAUGGCUGUUCAGGUUUAUUUAGCUCAUUAACUACCUUGUUUCUCUAGACAAUACCCCAGAGAUAUUAGCUGGCAUUUUUUUCCUAGCUGAGUGUCACUUAGUUUAUCCUAGUGCAUUUUCUUCAUCCAAGGAAAACAAACGCUUUGCUAUCAUUUCUCUAUCCUUCCAGUGUCUAUGACACCUUCUUCGUUUUGUCUCACCAUUUGUUAGGGUUCUGUUUACUCCCUUCUCCUGAUCGUUAGUGAACCCGCAGAAGCUCAGGAUCACCAGGGGAAUUCAUCUUCUAGUUAUCUGUAUUCAAGAUCUCAUUAUCCACAGAGGGACAAGUACCUAGGGCCCUGUAUUGUUUCAAGACAGAGAAAGAGGUUAACCCACUUUGAGUCUAUUUUUAAAGAAACAUUCUAUGAAAUAUUUCUCUACCUAAUCCAGGUGAUAUGCUUACAUCUAGUUCAAACACUUCUAUUGUACUUCUGUCUUCAGCAUUUUAUCAUUACUGUUCAUUCGAUAGAUUACCUAACUUUUUCAACACAGUAUCUCUGUGUGAGGCUGAUCAUGAUGGACUAGCUGUUUGCAAAACUCUCUAGGAGGCUUUGGAGGCUCUUCUUCCUGCAGCCCCCACUCUUGGUAGGAUUCUCAGGCAGAAGGGUUAUCAACCCUGUGCCUCUGGAGGAAGCACUUCUUCCCAUGCGAGACCCCACUGUUCAUCUACGCAGCCUCUCUGGGUGUUCCUUUUCAUCUUCUAGGAACUCUGCUAGCUUCUACUCUCACCUGUGGGCAUUUUCCUGGCUAGGCUACCACUUUUCUCAUAUCCUCCAACUAAAUGCAAUAACAUUUUUUAGAGUUUUGCUGUCAAUCUCAUGAGCCAGUAGCUUGCAUAAUGUAAGUAAUACACCUGAGGAAUUACAGGGAUUACAAGAUCUUACCAACUGAUGAGGUUGUAAAUAGAAGUCACAUUGGCUUUAUUGCAGUUAACUUUAUUUCUGAGAGUGUGGCUCACCCAUCUUCCCUCCUGUCCUACAAUUAGCAAAGACUACAUAGAUCUUUGUCAUAGAUCUUCCUAGUACUGUGUGCUUGAAGAGCCGGACAAAACCUUAGUUGCAUGCUAGUCUAAAAAAAUGUGAGUGAUUUGUAUCUCAGAGACAUUCUAGAUUGAAAAGAUGGCCCUGGCCCCUACCUAGAACCUAGAAUUCCACCAUUUCUCAUUCUCAUUCACUAACUACUUCCACUGCUUCAGCACUCUUCACCUAUUUUAAGAUUUCAGGCAAAUUCUUCCUUUAGUCAGCUAGAAAGUAAGCUCAAUAAGAGCAGCUACGUCAUCUUUUUCACUGCUGCAUCCUUCACACCAAGGAAAGUGACUGGCCAAUAUCUAUUGCACUCCUUCCAUGUACUGGACAGUGAACAGAUUGGUGGGCAAAGGGGAGUCUCCAAAAAUGCAUUAAAAUUAUUAGAGAGCAACCUGUUAAUCAAGUAGCCUAUAUAAGUAAGAAGAACUAGAAGGAGGUUUUAACUGUUGAAUAAGUACAGGAAAAUGCCUUAUUUCUGAAUAGAAAACCAAUAUUAUAAAUAUGUCAAUCAUUCCUUUUGUUUAAUGCAAUUCCAAUCAACAUCCGACUGGAUUUGUCUUUUUAACUUAUCAACAUUACUCUAGGGAUCUACUCAAGAGACAUGAAGACAAAUUUUCACAUAAAACUUGUAGGUGAAUAUUCAUAACAGCAUUAUUCAUGGUAGCUUAAAAAGUAGAACCAAUGCAAAUACCCAUCAGCUAGUGAAUGGAUCCUCAAAAUGUGACAUAUCCAUGCAAUGGAAUAUUACUCAACAAUAAAAAGAAAUGGAAUACAAUUACUUGCCACAACAUGGAUGAUUUCAAAAGCAUUAUGCUCAGUGAAAUAAACCAGACACAAAAAACUACAUAUUGGAAUGUAUCACUCCAUUUGUAGUGAAAGUCUAGAAAAGGCAAAUCUAGAGUGAUAGAACUAGAUUAGUAGUUGCCCAGGGGUUGGAGUGGGAUUGAGGAGUGACUGCAAGUGCACACAAAAGGUUCUUCCCCAUUUUUUUUUUUUGGUGAGGGGAGUGAUGAAAAUGUUCUGAAAUGAAACCAUGAUGAUGGUUACACAAGUCUUUAAAUACACCAAAGUCCAUUGAAUUGUACGCUUAAAACUGAUGAAUUUUGUGCUAUGUAAAUCAUGUCUUAACAAAGUAAAAUAGAAUAUUUUAAAGAUUAUGUGUAAGAAUAGAGAGGUAUGAGUAGCCAAGGCACUUUUAGAGAAAAAAAAAAGUAGUGAUGGGAUACUAAUUAUUACCUUUGGGAAAAGUCUUAGAAGGAGAAUUUCUGGAUUAAAGGUGUACACAAAAUGAAUAAUAACAGCAAUUGAAUAAAAUAAGAAUCCAUGAGUCCAUAUUAGAGUUAGGUAGGUUCCUGGCCAACAGAUAAAACAGAUUCUCUGUAACCAACAGAGGUGCUGAAAGUUAAAACAGAACCAGUCUGCCAUGGCUGCGUGAGGGGGUGGUGGUCAUAUAGUCAGUAUUCUCAGAAAGGUGUUGCAAAAGUGUCACAGGGCCUCCCUUUGUAUGAUCAAGCCAAACCAGUUUCUGAUGGUGCCUAGAUAAACUGUGGCCAGAAACACCCUCUCCCCACCACCCGGCCGAAGAACUAUCUUACAAAGACUUCUAGUUUGGGGCUUGGAAGCCACCCAAUCAGACUGGCACAAGUUUAAAUCUUUCAUUUGCAUACGUGGACCUGAUUGAGAAUCGGGGUGAGAAACUUUCCCUGUUUAAGCCAGACCCUCCCUUUGUUCUUAGGCGAGCACAUUUUCACUUGUAUUGAAAGCUGUGCCUCCCCAGUCUGCAGACAUUUUUUAAGAAAAUAAAGCUCUCUGUCCUCCACAGUCUUUUUUUUUUUUCAGCAAUAAUGAGCAAACCAAUCUAGACAAAAAACCUCACUGCUUAAACAAAUAACCCAAAAUGAAUCAGAUUUAAAAGCAAAAUAAAACUAUAAAAUGUUUAGAACAUGGGAAAAAAUCUGUGGGACAUGGGGCUUGAAGAGUUCUUCAACAUGACACCAAAAGCACAAUCCAUAAAUGAAAAAAUAAUUGAUAAGUUGAGCGUUAUCAAAAUUAAAACGUUUGCUUUGCAGGAGACCCUGUUAAGAGAAUCAAAAGAUAAGUUACAGAUCGUGAGAAAAUAUUUGUAAACCGCAUG
rnacentral:lncRNA from 1 species